rnacentral:rRNA from 1 species
AUUGAACGCUAGCGGGAGGCUUUACACAUGCAAGUCGAACGGAGUGGCGGACGGGUGAGUAAUAUAUCGGAACGUGCCCAGUAGGGGGGGAUAACUACUCGAAAGAGUGGCUAAUACCGCAAACCAUCGGAGGGGCCGAGGUCGGAUUAGCUAGUUGGUGGGGUAACGGCUCACAAAGGCAACGAUCCGUAGCGGGUUUGAGAGGACGACCAGCCACACUGUGACUGAGACACGGCCCAGACUCCUACGGGAGGCAGCAGUGGGGAAUUUUGCACAAUGGGGGAAACCCUGAUCCAGCCAUCCCGCGUGUAUGAUGAAGGCCUUCGGGUUGUAAAGUUCUUUUGGCAGCGAGGCGGUAUCUGCAGAAUAAGCACCGGCUAACUACGUGCCAGCAGCCGCGGUAAUAC